UAAACUGUGAAAGGGGGGAACUGAAAGGGUUAACUUCUAUCCCUGAAACUUCUGUCCUUGCUCAAACUUCUUUGUGCAAAACAUGCUUAUAUGGCACGUACUCCCCAGCUGGCCUGAGCAGCCCCCAAUGCCCUUGGGCGAAUAUGUUUCUUAUCUCUUCUUAUCACGCAUACCAGCACACCCCACUACAAAGUUUCUUUCUGGAGACACACAGAAUAAUACUUUUUUGUUUUCCCUUAGGCUAAGGCAUACCUUUGUUACACGUCAUAUUGGCUAUAUAAGCAACUGCUGUAACCCUAAUAAAUCGGAACUUGCUUUGCAACACACGUGCCUUCUGUGUCGUUCUUUGUAAGACCCCUGCGCAGUGUAUCUGGGCUGGUGUAAUCAGAUGGUUUUUGCCGUGCCAAGACGAACCGGUUCGCCUAGGGAUAGCACAAGGAUAGCACAGUGAAAGUCCGGGAUUUCCCCUGUUCCUUUCAGCUGGUGUCAAGAAGUGGGAUCGGUUGGAUAUCCGGAGAAGCUUCUUGGGAAAUAGUUUUCAAAUUUAACCAAGAUGCCCAAGAGUCUGCUGUCCAGUAUGCUAUUACCUUUGUGUCAGGAUUACUAAAUGAUCCUCAAAGUAACCUCAGCAUACAUAGUCUUGCCUGGAAGCAUAAGAAGUAAGAAAAGAUAGUCAUUGCCACAAGUGGAGAACUCCUGUCUUAAGCCCCAGCAGGUGUUACUAGGUCAGCAACAGUCUAACAACUUCCAGGAUAAUUCCCAAAACUCCAGACACAAUAACUAACAGACAGCAGUACAGGUCAGAUAACUGUAACAAAAAGACAGUCGUUUGCGUUAAUUGUAAUAAUCAAGGGCAUUAUGCAUAUAAGUGCAUAUCCCCAAAGACAGCCCUUUCCCCAGCAGGAGAUGCAGCCCCUUCACCUUCCAAUGCAUCCCUCAUAAAUCCUGAUUGAAGGUGUGAGGCAGCCCCGGUACCAGUAUUUCCAAACACUUCUAAUCACCAUCCAGACCUCCUAAUUGAAGUAUUUUAGACCUAAGGCCCCCCAGCCCAAAAUCUCACAGUACCCACUGUCCAGGGAAAAUGUAUAGGGGAUUUGCCCAGUCAUUCAAGGGUUACUUGAUAAGGGAGUGUUAAUUCAUAGGAUUAGCCCUGUAAAUAUGCUCAUCUUGCCAAUUAAAAAGCCCUGCAAGAAUGAGUGGCGUUUUGUUCAGGAUCUCAGAGCAGUUAACAAAGUUGUUAUUGCAGCCCAUCCGGUAGUGCCAAAACCGACUACCAAAGCAGGUUGCAGUCAUUAAGUACUAAGCCCACACUGGGUCCUCUGACCGUGUAGCACAAGAUAAUGCCUAUGCUGAUGUAGCUGCAAAGCAGGCAGCAUUGUAUUAUAAAAUGUUUAAAGCAUGUGUUGUAAAAGAACCAACUCUACCUGUUCCCUCUAGUGCUGUUUUAUCAGCCCUUCAGGACCAAAUGGAACCUGAGGAGAAGGAACAUUGGCUUAAAGCCAGAUGUACACAUACUCCGGAUGUUGAUGUUUUUGUUUUGCAUCUAGGUGAUUGCCCUGUUGCACCCCGUGCUCUGUUACCAUAUUUGGUUGCUGCCUCACAUGGUCUCACCCACACUUUUAAAGGGGGAUUUGUGAUGUAGUGUCAAGAAUGUGGUUUGCCCCCGGGUUCUCAUCUAUUGCAGCCAAAUAUGUAUAAUUAUGUUUUAUUUGUGUGCAAUAUAAUCUAGGUCAGACUAUUAGAACACCUAUCAAACAACGGCCUAAAGCAAUGUAUCCAUUUCAGAUAUUGCAGAUAGAUUCCAUACAGUUACCUAAAUGUUGUACCUAUGAAUAUGUAUUUGUUUGUGUUGACUAAUUCUCUGGUUGGCCAGAAGCCAUUGGGAUUCAUCAAAUGUUACACACCAUAUCAUCCCCAAGCUAGUGGGAAAGUGGAAAGUCAGCAGGCUAAUUAAAGUAUGUGCAGAGACUAAACUUGCGUGGCCAGAUGCCCUUGAUAUAGUUCUUAUGUCUGUCACACACACUCCCCAAAGGCUAACUAAACUCUCCCCAUAUGAAAUAUUGUUUGGGAGACAAACACGCAUGGCUCAGUACUUUCCUUCUACUCAUCUUCUUUGCAUGAACUAUGGAAGAAUGACUGAAUAUGUUACUAAGUUACCUAAGGAACUGACCAAAUUGUGCUCUUGAGUUUAUUCUUCAUUACCAGAUCCAGCGGAUGUUCUGGAACCUCAUGUUCUCAUUCCAGAAGAUUGGGUCCUCAUAAAGAGACGCAGUGCCAAAGAUCUUCAACCUCGCUGCAAAAGACCAUUACUCCUCGUCACAGAAACAGCUGUAAAGGUUGAAGGGAGACCGAAUCGGAUCCAUGCGUCUCACAGUAAGAAUCCUUAAACUUCCACCUGUUGUGUAAGUGGGGGGAAUUGCAGGACAUAAUAAUGCCUCUUUCCUUCCACCGCCUAAGUCCCAGGGACCAUAACAUCCAACGCUAAAGAUGUAGGUCCCCAUCGGGUGAAGAUCUCCAGCAGAAUCAUGUCUUUGUGGGCCAGAUGUUUGGUCCGAAUCUGUGUCUUCCUGCUGCACAUACGUAUCUUCAUUGCUGUGCUGAUUAUAGCACUUAUAAAGCCUGCUGUUAAUGACAGGUCCCAAGUCAACACAACAGCCUCACUAGCAUCUGAGGUUAAUGUUUCAUCACCAGAUCAGGUUAAAGUUGUCCAAAGAGACUUAUAUGCAUAACUGUUUGAGCCUAAUGAUAAUGCUCUUGUUAAAAUGCUUGUUAUAGCAGCAUCAACACUAUUACUGAUUGUUGGAUAUGUACACAUUCUCCUUUAUCAGCUCAUAGUAUGACAUACAUAGUAGAAUCUCUAUCCUGUCAGGACAUAGUUAACAGUCCUUGAGGUAAUUUGACACUUCUCCAGUAUAACACUACACUUAUUCCAAUGGCCAUCUCAGGAUUCUGUAAAGCACCAGUAGUGUAUUUUCAUAAAAUGGUGUUGCCCAAGGAUAUUGGUAAGUUGGUACACUUCUGUUCCGAUGGCCUUUGUAUCAACAGUUCAGUUAAUCAUCAUUUGUUGCUGUUGUUCUUGCUGUACCUCCUUAUUUUCUCACUCUUUUCGAAAGGCAAAUUCUUCUAGGCCUGUUCUGUUCUAUCCUAAGAACGCUAAAAGUCUGAAAUGACUUCCAUGAACCACCACAGUGUAUGAACAUUAUAUACCAGAUGUAUUCUCAUAUAGGUUGUAUGCAUAGCAUUUAUAAGGUAUGCUAUAUUUAAUUGUUUAUUUUGUAGUAGAGGAAACGUCUUGUAGGCUCUGCUUGACCCCCUUAAUGGAGUGAACAGUUUCUAAGUGCCCAUGAGGCCCUUCUAGAACCUGUUCAAGGUUAUGUGUAACAUCUGUCGAGAAGGUUCUUAUCACUAUUCUGUUAUAUUUUGUAUUCCUGUAACAAUGUGUUCUGACCUUGAAGCACACAUACACAAUGGUACUCCCUAUUUCCUGGUGAUUGGGUGUUAGUCAAAGAAUUCCUACCAAAACUCUCCCUGGAACCAACUUUUAAAAAAGAGUAGCACUUGGCAUGAUACUAACUGAAAAGGGGGGUGUCCGUAAAAUGCUUGACAACACAAGCACCUUUUGCACAUAUAUCCCCGAUAAUACUGGUCCAAACAGCAAAGUAAUUGAUCUGUUCAGUAAGUUAAAGAAAAAUUCUGGAAUCACACAUCCUUGGGGUGAAUAUUUUGGAUGGAUGACGGGUUGGCAAAAGGUCUUAGCCCAGAUCAGUGUUACCUUAUUGAUUGUUUUGAUUUUUAUUUCAUUUAUUUUCUGCUGUGUAAUCCCUUACAUUAGGAAGUUGAUUUCUUCACUUAUUGCUUCUUCAGAAGGUUCACAACUCAAACUUAUUCAUGCUGCUCGUGUGUAGUCACUUGCGUGACUAAAGGGGGGAUUGAAAGGGGGGAACUGAAAGGGUUAACUUCUAUCCCUGAAACUUCUGUCCUUGCUCAAACUUCUUUGUGCAAAACAUGCUUAUAUGGCACGUACUCCCCAGCUGGCCUGAGCAGCCCCCAAUGCCCUUGGGCGAAUAUGUUUCUUAUCUCUUCUUAUCACGCAUACCAGCACACCCCACUACAAAGUUUCUUUCUGGAGACACACAGAAUAAUACUUUUUUGUUUUCCCUUAGGCUAAGGCAUACCUUUGUUACACGUCAUAUUGGCUAUAUAAGCAACUGCUGUAACCCUAAUAAAUCGGAACUUGCUUUGCAACA